rnacentral:rRNA from 1 species
AUCUACGGCUAUACCACCCUGAACACACUUGAUCUCAUCUGAUCUCGGAAGCUAAGCAAGAUCAGGUCUGGUUAUCACUUGAACAGGAGAAAUGAAAGGAGACUUAAGGA